rnacentral:lncRNA from 1 species
GCUGCUUUCAACUGACAGCUCUUUCAGGCCAAUCUCUUAAAAUGCCAGCUGCUUCAAAAGUGGCAGAAUUAAUCCAUGUGUUCAUCUGCAAGCUUAAAAUAUUGUACCCUUUCCUUCACUGGUGUGUGUCAGCACAAAGUGUCAGCCUCAUGUAUUGGAUCAUGAACCAAAUUCAAUACCUGCUCAUAAUACCUAUGGAAAUGAUACCAUAUAUACCUGGAUUCACAUCCCACUUUAUUCUACUUGGGACCAGGUGAGAGAGCUCU